ensembl:piRNA 21ur-2040 ncRNA
UAGAAGAAUAUAAUUUUUGGA